GUGGCUGAAGGGUUAAGCAUUUGGCUGCUAACAAAAAGGUGGGUGGUUCGAACCCACCC
rnacentral:tRNA from 1 species